rnacentral:rRNA from 1 species
UACGGGGGGUGCAAGCGUUGUCCGGAAUCACUGGGCGGAAAGGGCGCGUAGGUGGCGUCGUAAGUCUGUGGUGAAAGCCCGGAGCUCAACUCCGGAAUUGCCUUUAAAACUGCAUCGCUAGAAUUGUGGAGAGGUAAGUGGAAUUCCGAGUGUAGAGGUGAAAUUCGUAGAUAUUCGGAAGAACACCAGUGGCGAAGGCGACUUACUGGACACAUAUUGACGCUGAGGUGCGAAAGCGUGGGGAGCAAACAGG